rnacentral:rRNA from 1 species
AUUGAACGCUGGCGGCAUGCCUUACACAUGCAAGUCGAACGGUAGAGUAGCAAUACUUGAGAGUGGCGAACGGGUGAGUAAUAUAUCGGAACGUGCCCAGUCGUGGGGGAUAACGUAGAGAAAUUUACGCUAAUACCGCAUACGAUCUAAGGAUGAAAGCGGGGGAUUCGCAAGAACCUCGCGCGAUUGGAGCGGCUGAUAUCAGAUUAGGUUGUUGGUGAGGUAAAAGCUCACCAAGCCGACGAUCUGUAGCUGGUUUGAGAGAACGACCAGCCACACUGGGACUGAGACACGGCCCAGACUCCUACGGGAGGCAGCAGUGGGGAAUUUUGGACAAUGGGCGAAAGACCUGAUCCAGCAAUGCCGCGUGCAGGAAGAA